UACUUUGUUAGUGAUGAUAACAAUCAUCAGAUGAGAAUCUCACUGAAAGAGACUGAGGAUUAAUUCUAAACUGAAACAGUA